rnacentral:lncRNA from 1 species
UUACUGAGACAUGGUGGGACAGCUCCCAUGACUGGAAUGUGGCCAUGGAUGGCUUUGUGCUUUUUAGAGAGGACAGGCCAGGAAGGCGAGGUGGUAGAGUUGCUCUUUAUGUGAGUGAGCAACUGGAAUGUAUGCAGCUCUGCCUGGGGGGGAUGAAGUGCAAGUCGAGAGCCUAUGGGUGAGGAUUAAAGGGCAGGCCAACAGGGGUGACAUUCUGGUGGGUGUUUACUACAGGCCACCGGAUCAGGAAGAGGAAGUGGAUGAGGCCUUCUACAGGCAGCUGCAAGUUGCCUCACGUUCGCAGGCCCUGGUUCUUAGGGGAGACUUUAACCACCCCGAUAUUUGCUGGGAAGACAACACAGCUCAGAACAAACAGUCCAGGAGGUUACUGCAGAACACUGAGGAUAACUUCUUGACACAGGUGGUAGGUGAGCCAACAAGGAGAGGGGCGCUGCUGGACCUGGUACUAACAAACAGAGAUGGUCUAGUUGGAAAAGUGAAGGUUGAGAGCCGGCUCAGCUGCAGUGAUCAUGAGAUGUUGGAGUUCAAGAUCCUGCAAGGAGGAAGCAGGGCAAAAAGGAGGAUCGCAACCCUGGAUUUCAAGAGAGCUAACUUUGACCUCUUCAGGGACCUAAUUGGAGGAAUCCCCUGGGCCAGGGCCCUAGAGGGAAAGGGGGCCCAGCAGAGUUGGCUAAUAUUCAAGCACCACUUCCUCCAAACUCAGGAUUGGUGGAUCCCUACGAGAAAGAAGUCGAGCAAGGGGGGCAGGAGACCUUCAUGGAUGAGCAAGGAGCUCUUGGGAAAACUUAAACAGAAGAAGAAAGCGUACAUGAUGUUGAAGAAGGGACAGACCAGUUGGUCUAGGAACAUUGUCAGAGAAUGCAGGGAUGCAAUGAGGAAGGCCAAGGCCUGGUUAGAAUUAAAUUUAGCAAGACAUCAAGGACGACAAGAAGGGCUUCUUCAAAUACAUCAGCAACAAAAGGAAGACUAAGGAAAACGUGGGUGCGCUGCUAAAUGAGGCGGGUGCCUUGGUGACGGCGGAUACAGAGAAGGCGGAGUUACUGAGUGCCUUCUUUGCUUCAGUCUUCACUACACGUACUACUGAGCCAGGAAAGAAGAAAGAAAACCCAGAGAAAGGAAGACUUUCCCCUGUCGAAGAGGAU